rnacentral:rRNA from 1 species
AUGAACGCUGGCGGCGUGCCUAAUACAUGCAAGUCGAGCGAACAGACGAGGAGCUUGCUCCUCUGACGUUAGCGGCGGACGGGUGAGUAACACGUGGAUAACCUACCUAUAAGACUGGAAUAACUUCGGGAAACCGGAGCUAAUACCGGAUAAUAUAUUGAACCGCAUGGUUCAAUAGUGAAAGACGGUUUUGCUGUCACUUAUAGAUGGAUCCGCGCCGCAUUAGCUAGUUGGUAAGGUAACGGCUUACCAAGGCAACGAUGCGUAGCCGACCUGAGAGGGUGAUCGGCCACACUGGAACUGAGACACGGUCCAGACUCCUACGGGAGGCAGCAGUAGGGAAUCUUCCGCAAUGGGCGAAAGCCUGACGGAGCAACGCCGCGUGAGUGAUGAAGGUCUUCGGAUCGUAAAACUCUGUUAUUAGGGAAGAACAAAUGUGUAAGUAACUAUGCACGUCUUGACGGUACCUAAUCAGAAAGCCACGGCUAACUACGUG